rnacentral:rRNA from 1 species
CAGUACCGUGAGGGAAAGGUGAAAAGAACCCCGGGAGGGGAGUGAAAGAGAACCUGAAACCAUAUGCCUACAAGAAGUCAGAGCCCGUUAAAGGGUGAUGGCGUGCCUUUUGUAGAAUGAACCGGCGAGUUACUGUAUGGAGCGAGGUUAAGCAGGAUAUGCGGAGCCGAAGCGAAAGCGAGUCUUAAGAGGGCGAGAGUUGCAUGCAGUAGACCCGAAACCGGGUGAUCUAGCCAUGACCAGGUUGAAGUUGGGGUAAAACCCGAUGGAGGACCGAACCGACCCCCGUUGAAACGUUGGCGGAUGAGUUGUGGCUAGGGGUGAAAUUCCAAUCGAACCCGGAGAUAGCUGGUUCUCCCCGAAAUAGCUUUAGGGCUAGCGUCGAGGUAAGUUGCGUGAAGGUAGAGCACUGAAUAUGUGAUGGCCCCAUCUCGGGGUACUGAGCAUAAUCAAACUGCGAAUGUCACGAUAACAUGCUCGGCAGUCAGACAGCGGGUGAUAAGGUCCGUUGUCAAGAGGGAAACAGCCCAGACCAUCAGCUAAGGUCCCAAAAUGUAUGCUAAGUGGAAAAGGAUGUGGAGAUGUACAGACAACUAGGAGGUUGGCUCAGAAGCAGCCAUCCUUUAAAGAGUGCGUAACAGCUCACUAGUCGAAUGACUCUGCGCCGAUAAUUUACCGGGGCUAAGCAUACUACCGAAGCUAUGGAUCCCAAGGGAUGGUAGGGGAGCGUUCCAUGAACGGAGAAGUACGACCGAAAGGACGUGUGGAGAUCAUGGAAGAGAGAAUGCCGGUGUGAGUAGCGGAACGUGGGUGAGAAUCCCACGCACCGAAAACCCAAGGUUUCCAGAGGAAGGUUCGUCCGCUCUGGGUAAGUCGGGACCUAAGGCGAGGCCGAAAGGCGUAGUCGAUGGACAACAGGUAGAGAUUCCUGUACCCGUAUAUAUGUGAAGGAAUGACGGAGAGAGGAAGCUGCAGCCAGCGGCUGGAAGAGCUGGUGCAAGCGAGAUAUCGGGAUGGCAGGCAAAUCCACCAUCCGAAACGAGAAGGCGUGAAGCGUACGGAAAGCUACGGCGAGUACGGAAGGCAGUGGAGGAACUUCCAAGAAAAGUUUCUAACGUUAAGUAUAUAUGGCCCGUACCGAAAAUGGACACACAUGGGUGAGGAGAGAAUCCUAAGGUGAGCGAGAGAACUAUAGCUAAGGAACUCUGCAAAAUGACUCCGUAACUUAGGGAGAAGGAGUGCUCAUAGAGAUAUGAGCCGCAGUGAAACGGCCCAAGCGACUGUUUACCAAAAACACAGCUCUCUGCUAAGCCGCAAGGCGAAGUAUAGGGGGUGACGCCUGCCCGGUGCUGGAAGGUUAAGGGGAGGGGUUAACGCAAGUGAAGCCCUGAACUGAAGCCCCAGUAAACGGCGGCCGUAACUAUAACGGUCCUAAGGUAGCGAAAUUCCUUGUCAGGUAAGUUCUGACCCGCACGAAAGGCGUAACGAUUUGGGCGCUGUCUCAGCUGUAGACUCGGUGAAGUCUUAGUACCUGUGAAGAUGCAGGUUACCCGCGACUAGACGGAAAGACCCCAUGGAGCUUCACUGCAGGUUGAUAUUGGGAUUUGAUGCAGCAUGUACAGGAUAGGUAGGAGGCAAAGAGAUGGAUACGCCAGUAUUCAAGGAGCCGCUGUUGGGAUACUACCCCUGUUGUAUUGGAUUUCUAACCGGACGACGUAGAGCCGUUGACGGGACAGUGUCAGUCGGGCAGUUUGACUGGGGCGGUCGCCUCCCAAAGAGUAACGGAGGCGCCCAAAGAUACCCUCAGCUUGGAUGGAAACCAAGCGCAGAGUGCAAAGGCAAAAGGGUGUUUGACUGCGAGACCCACAAGUCGAGCAGGGACGAAAGUCGGGCUUAGUGAUCCGGCGGUGCUGAAUGGAAAGGCCGUCGCUCAACGGAUAAAAGCUACCCUGGGGAUAACAGGCUGAUCUCCCCCAAGAGUUCACAUCGACGGGGAGGUUUGGCACCUCGAUGUCGGCUCAUCGCAUCCUGGAGCUGAAGUCGGUUCCAAGGGUUGGGCUGUUCGCCCAUUAAAGCGGUACGCGAGCUGGGUUCAGAACGUCGUGAGACAGUUCGGUCCCUAUCUGUCGUGGGCGCAGGAUAUUUGAAAGGCGCUGUCCCUAGUACGAGAGGACCGGGAUGGACGCAUCAAUGGUGGACCAGUUGUCACGCCAGUGGCAUAGCUGGGUAGCUAAAUGCGGAAGGGAUAAACGCUGAAGGCAUCUAAGUGUGAAACCCACUUCAAGAUGAGAUUUCCCAUUGC